AUGGAGGACGUGUGCGAGGGGAAGGACUUCUCCUUCCCGUUGGAGGAGCAGCGCGUCCUCGAGCUGUGGGCGCGGCUCGACGCGUUCCACGAGCAGCUGCGCCGCACGGAGGGCGGGGAGGAGUUCAUCUUCUACGACGGGCCGCCCUUCGCGACGGGCCUGCCCCACUACGGCCACAUCCUCGCCGGCACCAUCAAGGACGUGGUGACCCGGCACCAGUCGAUGCGGGGCCGCCACGUGAUGCGGCGCUUCGGGUGGGACUGCCACGGCCUCCCCGUCGAGUUCGAGAUCGACAAGCUCCUCGGCAUCACCAACCGCCAGCAGGUGCUCGACCUCGGCAUCGGCAAGUACAACGAGACCUGCCGCGGCAUCGUCACCAAGUACGUCGCCGAGUGGGAGGCCGUCGUCACGCGCACGGGCCGGUGGAUCGACUUCAAGGCCGACUACAAGACCAUGGACAUCAACUUCAUGGAGAGCGUCUGGUGGGUCUUCGGCCAGCUCUGGGACAAGGACCUUGUCUACAAGGGCUUCAAGGUGAUGCCUUACAGCACAGGUUGCAAAACUGCACUAUCAAACUUCGAGGCAGGCCUGGACUAUAGGACUGUCCCGGACCCAGCAGUGAUGGUGUCUUUCCCUGUCGUUGGUGAUGCGGACAAUGCAGCUCUUGUUGCAUGGACUACAACGCCUUGGACACUCCCAAGCAACCUAGCAUUGUGUGUCAAUGCCAAUCUUGUGUAUGCCAAGGUUAAGGACAAGUCAAAUGGAACAGUAUACAUCGUUGCAGAAAGUAGGCUUGGGCAGUUGCCAGUUAAAGCCAAAGCUUCUGGAAAGAAACAAGCACCUUCUAAGGGAAGCAAUGCUGAAGCUGUCCAGGGUGGUUUGGAUACCGAAUCAUACGAAUUAUUGGCAAAGAUUCCUGGCUCAAGCCUAGUAGGCCUAAAAUACACUCCUCUGUUUGAUUUUUUCUUGGAGUUUCAAGACACUGCCUUUAGGGUGAUUGCCGAUAACUAUGUGACUGAUGAUAGUGGAACUGGUGUUGUCCAUUGUGCUCCUGCAUUUGGUGAAGAUGAUCAUCGCGUUUGCCUUAGUGCUGGGAUAAUUGAGGCUAGUGGACUUGUUGUUGCUGUUGAUGAUGAUGGUCACUUCAUUGAGAAGAUAUCUCAGUUCAAAGGGCGACAUGUCAAAGAGGCUGACAAGGAUAUCAUCAAUGCUGUUAAGGAUAAAGGAAGACUUGUUAGCAAAGGGAGCAUUGAGCACUCUUAUCCAUAUUGUUGGCGCUCGGGCACUCCUCUUAUUUACCGGGCUGUUCCAAGCUGGUUUAUCAAGGUUGAAAAGAUCAGGGAUCAGUUACUAGAAUGCAACAAGGAGACCUACUGGGUUCCAGAUUAUGUGAAGGAAAAGAGAUUCCAUAACUGGCUAGAAGGUGCUAGGGACUGGGCUGUUAGCAGAAGUAGAUUCUGGGGUACUCCACUUCCAGUGUGGAUCAGCCAAGACGGUGAAGAAAUUGUAGUUAUGGAUUCCAUUGAGAAACUUGAAAGAUUAUCUGGCGUCAAGGUUAACGAUCUUCACCGCCAUCAUGUUGAUGAUAUUACAAUUCCUUCUAGCAGAGGACCGGAGUUUGGGGUUCUCAAGCGCGUUGAGGAUGUUUUUGACUGCUGGUUUGAGAGUGGGUCCAUGCCAUAUGCCUACAUUCAUUAUCCAUUUGAGAAUCGUGAACUAUUUGAGAAGAAUUUCCCUGGCAACUUUGUGGCCGAGGGUUUGGACCAAACACGUGGAUGGUUUUAUACUUUGAUGGUGUUAUCAACGGCAUUAUUUGGGAAGCCUGCUUUUAAGAAUCUUAUAUGCAAUGGUCUUGUUUUGGCAGAGGAUGGGAAGAAAAUGAGCAAGAGUAAACAGAAUUACCCUUCACCUAUGGAAGUCAUUGAUGAAUACGGAGCGGAUGCUUUAAGACUGUAUUUGGUGAAUUCUCCAGUUGUACGCGCGGAGUCUCUACGAUUUAAAAGGAUUGGUGUUUUUGGGGUUGUGAAAGAUGUCUUCCUCCCGUGGUAUAAUGCUUAUAGAUUUCUUGUCCAAAACGCAAAGAGGCUUGAAGUUGAGGGUUUGACAGCAUUUUCUCCAAUUGAUCAAGCUUCACUUCGGAAGUCAUCCAAUGUAUUAGAUCACUGGAUACAUUCUGCAACUGAAAGUCUGGUUAGCUUUGUUCAUCAGGAGAUGGAUGCAUAUCGGCUUUACACGGUUGUGCCAUAUUUGGUAAAAUACAUUGACAAUCUUACCAAUAUAUAUGUGCGCUUCAACCGCAAACGGUUAAAAGGACGUACUGGAGAAGAAGACUGCAAAAUUUCUCUUUCAACUCUCUACCAUGCACUUGUAACUACUUGUGUGGCGAUGGCUCCAUUUACGCCCUUCUUUACUGAAGUUCUUUACCAAAAUCUGCGGAAAGCGUCAAGUAAAUCAGAGCAGAGCAUUCAUUUUUGCAGUUUCCCUUCCACAACCGGGGAGAGAGAUGAGCGUGUUGAGCGAAGUGUAACUAGGAUGAUGACCAUCAUUGAUCUUGCGCGCAAUAUUCGGGAACGGCACAGCAAAGCUCUCAAAACACCACUGAAGGAGAUGGUGGUUGUUCACCCUGACAGUGAAUUUCUUGAAGACAUCACUGGAAAACUGAAAGAGUAUGUCAUGGAGGAGAUGAAUGUUAAGACUGUGACUCCAUGUAAUGAUCCCAUGAAGUACGCUUCUCUGCGGGCAGAACCCAAUUUUAGUGUGCUAGGUAAAAGACUAGGAAAGGACAUGGGCAAAGUAUCAAAUGAAGUGAAGAAAAUGACCCAGGAGCAAAUCUUAGCCUUUGAGCAAAGCGGAGAGAUUUCGUUCCUUGGUCAUUGCCUGACGCUAGACGAUAUUAAGGUGGUCCGACAGUUCAAGCGUCCUGUGGAUGUAUCAGAGAAGGAAAUUGAUGCCGCGGGAGAUGGUGAUGUGUUGGUCAUUUUGGAUCUCAGAGCCGAUCAAUCAUUGAUUGAAGCUGGAGUGGCUCGAGAGGUUGUAAACAGAAUCCAGAAAUUAAGGAAGACUGCUCAGCUUGAACCUACAGACUUAAUUGAUGUGUACUACGAGUCUGUAGACAACAGCAAUACACUUGAAGAAAUUUUACAGUCACAGGAUCAGUAUGUUAGGGAUGUGCUUGGUAAUUCACUAGUUCCAAAGGCAGCGGCAACAUCAGAUAUGGUCGUUAUCUGCGAGGAGUCUCAUACUGUACAUGACAUGUCAUUUGUCAUCUACAUUGCAAGAUGCAUGCCUGUGCUCGCAGCUGAUCUCCUUUCCUAUGCCUCAGGCAACAGUGACCACGUUGAGGCGUUAAGAGUGUAUUUGUUGUCAAGGUCCAUUUCCAGAUUGAAGAAUGAAUUCCAGACUGGAAAUGGCAAGAUUACGGUAAAGUGCAUCGAAGGCUAUCCCCCAAUUGAUCUGCAGCUAGGGAAGCAUAUUUUCCUUAGCGCUGGUGAUUUUUACCAGGCUAAUCGCUCUUGA
rnacentral:rRNA from 1 species